UGGGGAAUAUUGCACAAUGGGCGAAAGCCUGAUGCAGCGACGCCGCGUGAGGGAUGACGGCCUUCGGGUUGUAAACCUCUUUCGACAGGGACGAAGCGCAAGUGGCGGUACCUGUAGAAGAAGCACCGGCCAACUACGUGCCAGCAGCCGCGGUAAUACGUAGGGUGCGAGCGUUGUCCGGAAUUACUGGGCGUAAAGAGCUUGUAGGCGGUUUGUCGCGUCGUCUGUGAAAACUCACAGCUCAACUGUGAGCUUGCAGGCGAUACGGGCAGACUUGAGUACUGCAGGGGAGACUGGAAUUCCUGGUGUAGCGGUGAAAUGCGCAGAUAUCAGGAGGAACACCGGUGGCGAAGGCGGGUCUCUGGGCAGUAACUGACGCUGAGAAGCGAAAGCGUGGGUAGCGAACAGGAUUAGAUACCCUGGUAGUCCACGCCGUAACGGUGGGUACUAGGUGUGGGUUUCCUUCCACGGGAUCCGUGCCGUAGCUAACGCAUUAAGUACCCCGCCUGGGGAGUACGGCCGCAAGGCU
rnacentral:rRNA from 1 species